UGUGACUUAAAGGCGUGAGCCACCACCACCCAGCCAGCGCUGAGGACUGAACCCAUGACCUUGCGUUUGCUAUGCUAGCUCUCUACCACCUAGCUAAACCCCCAACCCCCAAACUGGGGAGUUGAAAUGCUGGAUAUGUACACAGUGCAGCAUUAUUCAUCUGUAAA